rnacentral:rRNA from 1 species
UACGAAGGGGGCUAGCGUUGCUCGGAAUACUGGGCGUAAAGGGUGCGUAGGCGGGUCUUUAAGUCAGGGGUGAAAUCCUGGAGCUCAACUCCAGAACUGCCUUUGAUACUGAAGAUCUUGAGUUCGGGAGAGGUGAGUGGAACUGCGAGUGUAGAGGUGAAAUUCGUAGAUAUUCGCAAGAACACCAGUGGCGAAGGCGGCUCACUGGCCCGAUACUGACGCUGAUGCACGAAAGCGUGGGGAGCAAACAGG